rnacentral:rRNA from 1 species
AACAAACGCUGGCGGCGUGCCUAAUACAUGCAAGUCGAACGGGGUAGCAAUACCUAGUGGCGCACGGGUGAGGAACGCGUGGAUAAUCUGCCUUAGAGUGGGGGAUAACUAGUCGAAAGAUUAGCUAAUACCGCAUAAGACCACAGGAGCUGCGGCUCUAGGGGUCAAAGGUUUUUCGCUCUAAGAUGAGUCCGCGUAAGAUUAGCUAGUUGGUGAGGUAACGGCUCACCAAGGCGACGAUCUUUAACUGGUCUGAGAGGAUGAUCAGUCACACUGGCACUGAGACACGGUCCAGACUCCUACGGGAGGCAGCAGUAGGGAAUAUUGCACAAUGGAGGAAACUCCGAUGCAGCGACGCCGCGUGAGUGAUGAAGGCCUUCGGGUCGUAAAGCUCUGUCGCAGGGGAAUAACACAAUGAAUGUACCCUGUAAGAAAGGAUCGGCUAACUUCGUGCCAGCCGCCGCAGUAACAC